CCUGACUGCUAUCGGAUUGGUACUAAGCCAUGUGAGUCGUUGUAGCAAUACAAGGCAUACGGCUCAGUAACACGUAGUCAAUCUAACCUAUGGACGGAGAUAACCUCGGGAAACUGAGGAUAAACCCCGAUAGAUCAUUAUACCUGGAACGGUUUAUGGUCCAAAUGAUUCGUCGCCGUAGGGUGGGACUGCGGCCUAUCAGCUUGUUGGUGAGGUAAUGGCCCACCAAGGCUAUUACAGGUACGGGCUCUGAGAGGAGAAGCCCGGAGAUGGGUACUGAGACACGGACCCAGGCCCUAUGGGGCGCAGCAGGCGAGAAACCUUUGCAAUGUGCGCAAGCACGACAAGGUUAAUCCGAGUGUUUCCUGCUAAAGGAAUCUUUUGUUAGUUCUAAAACCACUGAUGAAUAAGGGGUGGGCAAGUUCUGGUGUCAGCCGCCGCGGUAAAACCAGCACCUCAAGUGGUCAGGAUGAUUAUUGGGCCUAAAGCAUCCGUAGCCUGUUCUGUAAGUUUCCGGUUAAAUCCAUUAGCUCAACUAAUGGGCCGCCGAAAAUACUGCAGAACUAGGGAGUGGGAGAGGUAGACGGUACUCGGUAGGAAGGGGUAAAAUCCUUUGAUCUAUUGAUGACCACCUGUGGCGAAGGCGGUCUACCAGAACACGUUCGACGGUGAGGGAUGAAAGCUGGGGGAGCAAACCGGAUUAGAUACCCGGGUAGUCCCAGCUGUAAACGAUGCAGACUCGGUGAUGCCCUGGCUUGUGGCCAGUGCAGUGCCGCAGGGAAGCCGUUAAGUUUGCCGCCUGGGAAGUACGUACGCAAGUAUGAAACUUAAAGGAAUUGGCG
rnacentral:rRNA from 1 species